AACGAACGCUGGCGGCAUGCCUAACACAUGCAAGUCGAACGAGACCUUCGGGUCUAGUGGCGCACGGGUGCGUAACGCGUGGGAACCUGCCCUUAGGUUCGGAAUAACUCCCCGAAAGGGGUGCUAAUACCGGAUAAUGUCUUCGGACCAAAGAGUUAUCGCCUUUGGAUGGGCCCGCGUUGGAUUAGCUAGUUGGUAGGGUAAAAGCCUACCAAGGCGACGAUGCAUAGCUGGUCUGAGAGGAUGAUCAGCCACAUUGGGACUGAGACACGGCCCAGACUCGUACGGGAGGCAGCAGUGGGGAAUAUUGGACAAUGGGCGAAAGUGUGAUACAGCAAUGCCGCGUGAGUGAUGAAGGCCUUAGGGUUGUAAAGCUCUUUUACCCGGGAUGAUAAUGACAGUACCGGGAGAAUAAGCUCCGGCUAACUACGUG
rnacentral:rRNA from 1 species